rnacentral:rRNA from 1 species
AAUAGAUACCCAGGUAGUCCACGCUGUAAACGGUGGGUACUAGGUGUGGGGUCCAUUCCACGGGUUCCGUGCCGUAGCUAACGCUUUAAGUACCCCGCCUGGGGAGUACGGCCGCAAGGCUAAAACUCAAAGGAAUUGACGGGGCCCCGCACAAGCGGCGGAGCAUGCGGAUUAAUUCGAUGCAACGCGUAGAACCUUACCUGGGUUUGACAUGGAUCGGGAGCGCUCAGAGAUGGGUGUGCCUCUUUUGGGGUCGGUUCACAGGUGGUGCAUGGCUGUCGUCAGCUCGUGUCGUGAGAUGUUGGGUUAAGUCCCGCAACGAGCGCAACCCUUGUUCACUGUUGCCAGCACGUUAUGGUGGGGACUCAGUGGAGACCGCCGGGGUCAACUCGGAGGAAGGUGGGGAUGACGUCAAGUCAUCAUGCCCCUUAUGUCCAGGGCUUCACGCAUGCUACAAUGGCUGGUACAGAGAGUGGCGAGCCUGUGAGGGUGAGCGAUCUCGGAAAGCCGGUCUCAGUUCGGAUUGGGGU